rnacentral:lncRNA from 1 species
AAUUCCAGCUAUUCGGGAGGCUGAGGCAGGAGAAUUGCUUGAACCCGCAUGCGGAGGUUGCUUUGAGCCGAGUUUGCACCACUGCACUCCAGCCUGGGCGACAGAAUGAGACCCCGUCUCAAAAAAAAAAAAAAAAGAAAGAAAGAAAUUAUAUUUCCUGGCUAAGCGCGGUGGCUCACGCCUGUAAUCCCAACACUUUGCAAGAAAAAAGAAAAUUCUUUUUCCUGACCCAUCCAUCUAGCAUCCCACCUGACUAUUCAGUUUAGUUCAUCUGAAAUUUAUUGAGCUCCACAGUUUGGUACUCUACAACUCUUGGAUAUUCAAAUAUUUACAAGUUACUGAAUUUGUCCUCAAGAAACUCAGCUUAUCCGACUUUGUGGUUCUAUGGAGAAGAAAAAAAAAAACUGGGAAAGAUAGCCCUGUAAGCAAAUAAACAUAAUGCAGUUCCUGAGUGCUAUGAUAGAGAUAUACACAGGGUGUUGCAGAACCAUACCCAGAAGGCUUGCAAAAGGCUUUCCAAAAGGAAGUCACGCCUACGUUGUGUUCAAAGGGUCUCGCUCUGUUGCUUAGGCUGGAGUGCAGUGGUGAGAUCACGGCUUACUGCAGCCUUGACCUUCUGGGCUCAGACUAGGCACCAAAAUCACAUAGACUUGAUUCAUCCAAUGAACAAUAAAUAUGAUGCACCUACCACACCCCAGGUGCUGUUACAGAUGCUGGAGAUAUAGCCACAAAUAAGACAAGAUUCUUGCACACCAUGGAGUCUGUACACUAGUGUGUGAUGACUAGUUUUAUAUGUCAGCUGGGAUGGUGUUUUUGGAUGAAAUUAACAUUUAAAUCACUUAACUCUGAGUAAGCAGAUUGCCCUCCAUUAUGUGUGUGAGCCUCAUCCAGUCAGCUAAAGGCCUGAAUAGAAAGAAAAGAACAGCUUCCCCGAGUAAGAGUGAUUUCCCAACAGACUGCCUUUGGACUGGAACUGCACCAUCAUGCCAAAAAGCAGAAGGUAACACAAGCAGGAGAAAAAAAAAUCAAUCAACAGAAACAGACCCAGAAAUGACAGAGUUGAUGGAAUCCACAGAUACAACUUUAAAUAUGUCAACAAGGAAAAAUGGUUAUGCUAGACUGGUGCAAUUAUGAUUUUUUUCUUAUUUUUCUAAAUAUAUGAAAAUUAAACAAAAAGAACAUUAAUCCCUUAUAUGAAUAUUUAUUUUUUGAUGAUGAACAUUAUUCCCAAGAACAGAUAAAUGAAGGAAAUGAUAAACACCACAUUUAAGACAUUGAUUACCUCUUGGGGGAGGGAGACAGGGAGAAGGGUGCAACUGGGAUAGCUAUGUAGAACUAGACAGUGUGGUAGUACUACAUUUCUUAAGCUAAGAGGUGUGGAUGUGCCAUUGUAUUAUUCUUUAUACAGGUACUUUGUUUAUCUUAAAUAUUGCAAAAUACAAUUCAAAAAUAAACAAGGGCUGGGUGCAGUGGCUCACGCUUGUAAUCCCAACACUUUGAGAGGCCAAGGCGAGUGGAUCACCUGAGGUCAGGAGUUUGAGACUAGCCUGGCCAACACGGUAAAACCCUGUCUCUACUAAAAAUACAAAAAGUAUCUGGGCAUGGUGGUGGGUGCCUGAUAUCCCAGCUACUCAGGAGGCUGAAGCAGGAGAAUCGCUUGAACCCAGGAGGCAAGGUUGAAGUGAGCCGAGAUUGUGCCAUUGCACUCCAGCCUGGGAGAUAAGAGCGAAACUCCGUCUCAAAAAAAUAAAAAGUAAAAAUAAAAAUAAACAGUUACAGAAACAAUACCACAUAUUUAUAUUCAGAAUAGGAGUAGUAGUGUUAUUUCCAAAACUUUUUAUGAUCUCCCCCAUGAUCUUUCAAGAUAUGUUACUGAAAUGAGAUCAAAAGCGUGAAAGAGAUCCUCAGUGCAUGUGUGAUUUCCCUUUAGAUGUUAUCUUCUGAGGAUGUAUCCAGUUUUCUCAACAAGGCAGACUUGCUAUGUCCCUCUGAAAAUUUCUUUCCCUUUACUGUAUAACUUGCUUUUUGUUAAUUCCACGUUUAGUUAUAGUUAUUGUUCUCUGCCUCUUCAGUGUUUAUCUUUCAUCUCAAUAUUAAACACUGAUAUUGGGUAACUGAGUAAUGUUCAAUUAUUCCUUUCCUUGUGUUAUUUUUAUCCUAAGUGACUGCAAUUAUCUUCAUACAUGGAACAUGAAAAAUUUUAUUG